ensembl:lncRNA
UUUCCCUUUAAAGAGAAAAGAAUAGUUGUGCAUCCAUUUUUUAAGUGUGGGGUGCAUUUUCUUUUUUUUUUUUAAAUGAUACUGAGGUAAUCCGAAAGUAUUUAAAUAAGACUACAAUAUGUUGUUAAUAAAAAAAACAAACAAACUUGUAAUUUGUAUUCACAACAUAUCAAAGUCAUCUGAUAGCUUUAGGAGAUGAUGAUCACAGCAUCGGUUUUGUGUCUGCAUCAGAGUCCUCCUAUAAGGCACAAUCUGGUUUCAAGUGGCAGCAGAGCGGCUUGCUUUUUGUGCAGGCAUCACUUUCCACUUCCUGAGUCCUGAGUAACCUACCGCCACUUUCGGAUGAAAGAGGUGUAAUUUCAGGGGUACGCUGUAACCAAUGAAAACACUCAAAGGCACAUCAGAGCGGGGGCAAUCGAGGAGCCCGGUCGCAGUAAUUUGCCUUGAUUGACUCACGAUGCCACAGCUGCUGCCAAUUCGCCAGAUGAAGUGGCCACAUAAAGGGCUGAAGAAACCUCCAGUGCUGGUAGGUGCAGUCAUGUUUGUUCUUAAUCUUGUGUUCUUGGCUCUUCUGGCCGCAUCAACCGCUCAGCCAGGCAUCCCUCGAUACAUCCAGGGCCAGUGGAUGCUCAGUGAUGAGAGCCCACAGUAUGAAGACGAUGAUGGACUGUCAUUUGAGGACAGCAUGUGGCCCGUGAGCCCGCCGGAAGUUGUUGAAGUGGUGACGGAGGGCCACAUCCUACUGACCACUGCAGAGCCGUAUGUUAUGAAAGAACAAGAUUCGGAUGAUGUGGAAGAAUCAGCGGUGUGGAAAAUCGUCCUGGUCGCAGUCAUCCUGCUGGUGUCUAUAGUGGGAUCUCUGAGCGUGACCUAUUACAUGUGUGUCUGGAGGGGCGGCAGGAUUCAUUAUAAGCCUCAGAGGGAGGUUUAUCAGUAAAAAAUAAACUGAGCAUUGUGCUGAAACUGUUCUCAAGAAGUCUCAUGUUUUUCUGACUGAGUCAAAAGGAAAUGGGACUGUAGGUGUUGGACAGCUUGUCUUUCAUACAAAUGGACUGAAAGUACAUCAGAAAUUAGGGGGACACGACCCAAGGAAUGAGAAGUGAAUGUAAAAGAGACUUUAUCUUAUUUGUUGUCUGGAUAUUGGUGGACGUGCCAGCCUUACGGCACUAAAGGGGAGAAACCCCUGAGACAAUUUAAGAUCAGAAGCUGCUUAAUUGCCCAAAGACAUAUUUGUCUAAGAGGUAUUUUCAGAAGAAUCCUAAUGGGUUGGAAGAAAUGACGUUUCACUGUGUGGACCACCUGAAUAAUUAAAACGUCAGGGUUCAAUCAUGCAAUACUAGGACCAGUAAAUGCAUUCAGGACUCUAUAGAUUCAACUCUUAUGUUGGGCUCCUUUUUCAAUACCCUCAAUCUAUUUUGGCCUCUACACCUUCAGUCACUGAUGGCUGACUGUAAAGUGCCAUUUUUACACUGUAGGCAGUGUUAUUUGUUCUGUAUUCCAGGGUAAGAGCAUGAUGGGUGAAUGAGGGAGAGAAGUUAGAAAAAUCGACAUGUACACUGUGUGACUUGUGUUUUUAUAUAUACGUGAUACACAAAAAAGGUAAAGCAACAAAAGUCUUUUUAUGCAUUCUGUAAGUAUACUUGUGCUAUGAAUGUCCAGAAAAGCAUGUUUACAUGUGUUUAAACAUCACACAAGGUAGGUACUCUCCAUGUUUAAGUGUUUCUCAUCUUGAAAAUGGCAGGAGUUCCUAAUCACAUAUGAAGUCUCUUUAAAAGCCUUUCAAAACCAAACUUGUUUUAAAUAAGUGAACAGAUGGGACUUUGCUUUGGUUUCAUUUUCUAGAAACAGCUUCUUUUAUUUCUUAUAAAUCCUUUUCAGUUAAAGUGAUGGCCACUAGAGGUCACCGCCAUCAUUGUGUUGUGUCUCGUGCUCCACAGAUCCACUUGAAUAGAAUGUACAUAUGUAAGCCCUGUAUCUCCCUAUACAUCAAACUCACACUUUGUAAUGAUUUAAUGUGACACGAGCGGAUUGGGCCUUGUGUCCCCUCACUAAUCUGGGAUUAUCAUCAUAGAUUUCUUGAGUCCAUCCUCAAAUAAGAUUUAUUUGGUCCUUUAUGCAUUUUAUGUUUUUGAGAACGCAACUUUGAAAAAUGAUAAAGAUGCUGAAAUGUUAUUUUGGAUCAAUUAUCUAAACUGAGGUCCCCAAACGUUUUUCCCUUCGAGGGCCAAAACUGAAACAUAAUAGUGCGCAAUUGGCCAAAUUCAAGCACCUAAUGUGUUGUAAUGUAUUAUUGAGAUGUAGAAUUGUACUAGUAUCCCGGUGCAGUGUCACUCUGCCCACCAUGCUCAGAU